CGCGGGAUGGAGCAGUCUGGUAGCUCGUCGGGCUCAUAACCCGAAGGUCGUCGGUUCAAAUCCGGCUCCCAUAACCC
rnacentral:tRNA from 1 species